AUUGAACGCUGGCGGCAGGCCUAACACAUGCAAGUCGAACGAGGGGCGGACGGGUGAGAAAUGUCUGGGACACUGCCUGAUGGAGGGGGAUAACUACUGGAAACGGUAGCUAAUCCCGCAUAACAUCAGAUGUGCCCAGAUGGGUUGAGCUAGUUGGUGGGGUCACGGCUCACCAGGGAGACGAUCCCUAGCUGGUCUGAGAGGAGGACCAGCCACACUGGAACUGAGACACGGUCCAGACUCCUACGGGAGGCAGCAGUGGGGAAUAUUGCACAAUGGGCGCAAGCCUGAUGCAGCCAUGCCGCGUGUAUGAAGAAGGCCUUCGGGUUGUAAAGUACUUUCAGCGGGGAGGCGUUACCCGCAGAAGAAGCACCGGCUAACUCCGUGCCAGCAGCCGCGGUAAUUC
rnacentral:rRNA from 1 species